rnacentral:misc_RNA from 1 species
UUUCCGUAGGUGGACCUGCGGAAGGAUCAUUAAAGAAUUUGCCCCGUCCUCUCGAGGAUGGGUCCUCUUCUAAACCGUGUAUACAUACCUUUGUUGCUUUGGCGGGCCGCCGUCUCGGCGUUGGCUUCGGCUGACUGUGCCCGCCAGAGAACCCCAACUCUUCUGUUUAGUAUUGUCUGAGUACUAUAUAAUAGUUAAAACUUUCAACAACGGAUCUCUUGGUUCUG